GUCCUUGAGAUUAUAAUUUAAGGUCUUAUCUGCCCACUGAAUAUUAAAUGGCCGCAGUAUAUUAACUGUGCUAAGGUAGCAUAAUAAUUAGUUUUUUAAAUGGAAGCUUGUAUGAAUGAUUUGAUGAGAAAAAUUCUGUCUCUGAUUUAAUAUUAUAAUUUUAAUUUUAAGUGAGAAAGCUUAAAUGUUAUUUAAAGACGAGAAGACCCUAUAGAUCUUAAUAUUUUGUUUUAUUAUAUAAUAUUUUAAUUUGUUAUUUUAUUUAAAAAAUAUUUUGUUGGGGUGACAGUAAAGUUUAUUUAACCUUUAUAUUAUAUAAACAAAUUUUAUUGAAUUUUUGAUCCUUUUUUAGAUUAAUAGAUUAAGUUACCUUAGGGAUAACAGCGUAAUUUUUUUGGGGAGUUCAUAUCUAUAAAAAAGUUUG
rnacentral:rRNA from 1 species